CUUUUUAGCUCCAGACCAACACACAAUCACAUGCUAUAUAUUUGAUUCUAUGCAAACUCAUGAAUCUUCCUGGUGACCCAGUUAUAAAGACUUCACAUGACACUGUCAGUGGAGGUUAAAGAGGAUCAGAAGCUCACAGAACGUCAGUCUCAACAUAAACCAUGUUCUCUAUAGCUCUGCUGCUGCUGUUGGCAGCUGGAUGUGUGAAGUGUGAACAGUUGACACAGCCAGCCUCUGUGACUGUGCAGCCAGGUCAACGUCUGACCAUCACCUGUCAGGUCUCUUAUUCUCUCAGCAGCUACUACACAGCUUGGAUCAGACAGCCUGCCGGGAAAGGACUGGAGUGGAUCAGUAGCGACACAGACGUCAAAGAUACACUGACGAACAAGUUCAGUGUAAACCUGGACUCUUCCAGCAACACAGUGACUCUAAUUGGACAGAAUGUGCAGCCUGAAGACACUGCUGUGUAUUACUGUGCCAGGAGAGCCACAGUAACACAAACCAUCAGUAGACCUGAAAAAAAACCCCUCAGAGCCUGAACACUUGUAACAUGAAGCCACCAGAGGAGGAGCCCUCCGACCACUAAUGGUUUCAACACCAGCUCACUGUUAC